rnacentral:misc_RNA from 1 species
GGCUCUCCUCUACACGCUGCUUCGUGCCUCCGCGUAGGUGUGUGCAUGCGUGUGUGCGCUCACACGCGGACGCUUGUAUGCUCGUGUUUGCAUCCUUUGUUAGGCACUCGCGCUUCAACAUACGCACAUACACAGUCUCUCUCUCUCCCUCUCGACUCCUCGCAUUACACACGAAACGCACACUGUGCUGCGUGAGCGCACAGAGGCCCACGUGCACACGUGCCAGAGUCACAACAUCGUCGCUGCCGAAGACGUUCUCUUCUUGAGGACGGCCUGGGCGACGUGAGGUGCACCCGACUUCAACACUUUUUUUCCCGCGGAUUUUUCAUUCUUUUGCUUUCCGGUGCCUCUCUUCUUCUUGUAUUCCGUCUUCGCCUCCCGUGGGUGACGUCAUUGUUGGCCUUUGCUCGGCUCUGCUCAGCCGUCUUGUGUCUACGCAGCAGGUUUCUCAGGCUUGUGUACGUUUUCAUUGUUUUUUUUUUCGCCGCGGCGUUGUGUGUAUUCGGAUUCGCGUCGAAAUUGUGUGCACGUCUCCCUUGUCUUUCCCUCUCUCGCGCGCGUGCGUGUGUGUGCGUGGAUUGCGGGCCUUGUGGUGUAUUCAUCGUCUGCGUGGAGACUCCGAAAGAGAGGCUGCAGCGUUCUGCUGCUGCUGGUAAUUUGAGGGCAUACGGCAAGACGAGCAGGAAAGGCGAGCACUUCACUAGCUCCAUCAGGACACACACACACACACACACACACACGCACGCGCAUACGUAGACUCACAGGCAGACACAGCAGCGCCGGCCAACAUCGCCGUUGCCCCAUGCUUGGUCUCUCUGUCGAACGACUCCUUUCAUGAAUAUAUUUGAUCCUGCGGGCUUCUCUUGCUCCGUCUCUCCAUCCUUUUUAUUCGUUUCAGUGAAAUCGGCUUCACAGCUCACGUUGUGCGGGUGUGUUACCGAAGGGUGAGGCGAACAGCGAAGGCGACAACAACAGACGUGCUCUGUAUGAUCGCUGCUUGCGUUCCUGCCGUCGUGCCUGUGCAUGCGCGUGUGUGUGUGACCGCCUUUGCUUGCACGAUUCCUUUUAUUCCUCUUUCUCACCUGCCCACAGCGGCCCGCUUCAUUGCCGUCCCUCUUGCAUCAGCUGCUGUUGCUGCUUCCUGUCCGUUGUUUCUCUCACGUGUCUACACCUAUUUCUAGCUCUCUGUCUCUUUUCCGUUUCGCCGCGCUUGUCUUCCGCAUAGUUACGUUUACGAAGGGCUUAAAAUUUUUUUUCCGUUCUUGUGUGUUUGCUUGUGUUCACAUCUCAUCUUCUACCUCCCUCCCUCCCUCCCUCCCAUAUCCCAUCUCUCAUUCUCCGACUCUUAUUGUUGUGCGGCGCGCACUUUUCUUUGUUUCGCCUUCUGUUAUGCCCCCCCCCCCCCCCCCCCCCCCCCCCCCCGACCGCCCGACCGCCCGACCGCCCGACCGCCCAAUAUUCUUCCACGUCCCUGCAGCCCCUGGCGGUGCUGCUACCAGUGCCGCGUCGUGCACUGCACACUCGUGUGCAAGGUGCAGUCGUGUGUGGUGGUUGAAGUGGUGGUGUUGGCGGACGUCGAACAACGUACGCGGUGCCACACGCACGCGAAGCGAAGAGCUGAUUUGCCUGUUUGCCUGCCGUGAUGGAGGAGGAGGUGACAUCAGCUGCCUCCACGAACCCCACGCGGGGCAGCAGAGUUGGCGGGUCGACCAGCACUCCACACGGCGGGCGGCGCCAUGUACACGCGCGCGUGCACGUGCGCUCUGCCUCGGGCUGUUCGCGUGAAUCACUAGAGUCACCUGGGGUAGGGACACCAUCAGCAUUCUCUGUCCCCGACUUUCCGCGUAACAGGAGCAAAGCCUCUGCUCUGGAAGACGCAGUGAGCACCAAGGAUGAGAAGACCUUAUAUGCAUAUCAGGAGCAGCCGCCGGCGCCGGUUUCUCCAAAGCCACUACAGCCGCAUGUGCAUCAAGUCGCGGCUGCCUCCACGCCGUCUGUGACUCUUGAGGCCGCUGCUGCGGCUGCCGAGAUGCUGCCGAAUCCUGGAGGCCAGCGCCGCAUGAUGGCUGCCGGCAAGACCAACCCGCUGCACGUGUGGGGGCAGGAAAUGUCGUUCCUCAAGUCGCACUUUUUCCAUCCACAGCGCCACCGGUCCAACGGCGCGGCGAAGGCGCAGAGCGACAAGUCCACCGGAGCGACAGAGAUGCGGGAGAACCUGACGCAUGCUAGGGUGGACUUGUGGUCGCCGAGGUCUGCGGAAGGCAAGGGUGGCCAGUCUGUGGCCACGGCAGCAGCGGCAAAAAGCGAGGAUGCUCUGCACGUCUUUGGUGGGCAGGCACCAUCGCCAUCUCGGGCACGCAGAGACGCGGGUGAGAGCAGUGGCGGCCAGGACAGCCAGCAGCAGGGCGGAAAGGGUACGGCAGGCGGCGGUGGCAGCGAGGGCGAGCGGCUACUGCCCACCUCCUGCGCCUCCGAAUCCAUGGUGCGGCCUAAGAGCGCGAAGGCGAACACGUGGGCCUCGCUCGCCGUCUUGCGCAUGCGUAACAUGAACGCCCUGCGCGCCUACUCGUGGGAUCAGCGCGUUUUCCUGCCGCAGGGCGACGGUUUCAUGGGUACCAUCUUUGAACUGCUCGCCUCGCCCCGCGUCUGGGAGAAGGUGGACUGGGCGAUUCGCGGGUCGGCCAUCGCGAUCCUGCCAACGCUGAUUGUCUGUCUGGAGCCGACCACGAGCCAAAUCUUUCCCUUGCCGACCUCCGUGGUGUUCCUUGCCUACUGGACGUCGAAGCCGACGCUGGGUGCCGGGCUGCGCGAAACCUUCACUGUGCUGAAAGCGUUUAUUAUUUCGCUUGCCUUCCUGUGCAUUGUUGUCGCGAUCCAGCCAGGCCCGAAGUGGCUGACCAUCCUGAUCCUCUUCUUUUCCCUCUCCGUCGGUGCCUUUGUGGCACAGCAGAUGAGGGUAAUGAUCGCGUACUGCUUCGCGAGCUUGCUCAUGCAGUAUGUCGCGCACCCGGAGACGACGGGGUACAAGUACAUUGGCGACUUCUACCUGACGCUCUUCAUCGGACAAGGCUUCGCAGUCGGCGCGCUGCUCUUUCCGUACAUCCGGUGGUCCAGUGAGAGCGCGCGGCGGUACUUGAUCGUGAUGGGCGACGCCAUCAGUCUCUCGGUACACGGGGCGUGCUGCAGCUUCUGGGUGGAGAGCAGCUUGUUGGAGCGACAGUUGCACGUUGCGCGGCUGCGGCAGCUGCGCCAGACCAUCGAGGCUAGCAUGGCGAAGGCUGAGAAAGGACUGUCGGAGAUGGGGUACGAGCCACACUCCGGUGUGUACACCACGCGGCUGAAGACCCGCAUGGCGUUCCUGAAGAACGUGUUCAACAUUGUGCAGUCGAUGACGCUUGUGAUUGAGCAGAUCGCUGCGAACCCGACGCUGAUCGAGACGCCGAUGUGCCGCGCGUUUGGCGAGCGUAUCCGCGGUGAGCUGAGCGUUGCUGCUGCUGCGAUGGACGCGACGCUGCUUCGCGUUGUGGACCUCGACGACCUCGUGUCUGCAGCCGACAUGGAGGCGUUCCGCGGUGCGAAGGCGCGCUACGAGGACGCUGUGUCGAGGGUUCGCGACGAGGUGAUCUUGAGCAACGAGGACUACCGCACGGAUAACAGCGACAUCCUUCUCGGGUUCUUUCUCUUCAGUGUGGAGGAGCUGAUGGAGUUGAUCAGCGGCUUCCAGGACGCCGCGCGCAGCCAGGACAAUCUGCGCUACUUCCUCAUGUUUCCUCUGCGCGACUUGCAGAGUUUAUGGUCCGCGUUUGUGGAGCUGCACAGCGCCAUCACGCUCCGCCACUCCAUUACACGCAGGCUGAAGGAAGGUAUCAAGCUGAGCCUGUCCAUGGCACUGGCGGCGUACAUCCAAACGUAUGCGUUGAAGAGCUCUUCCACGAACCCCAUCCUGGGCGUGGACACGAUCGCGUUCCUCUACCGUUCUACUGGGGGCGACAGCUUUCAGUACGGGCAGGGGCGUCUGCUGGGAACGGUGCUCGGGUGCCUUACAGGACUCUUCGGGGUGCAGCUCGCCGACGGAAGCCGUCCUGUGCUGUACAUGUGCACGCUUGUGCUGACAUUCAUCGGCUCCUACGUGCAGGCCUCGCCCACCUGCGGUGCUAUCGGGAACGGUAUGUCGAACGGUGUUAUUUCAGUGGUGCUGCAGUACACAAACAGGGAUGGUGCCAUUGUGCGCAUUGAACAGAACUGCUUUGCAGUCAUUAUCUACUUCAUCGUCACGUCCCUGGUGUGGCCGGUGCGAUGCCAGACGAAGGUGAAGACAGGGUUCGACGGAUGUAUGCGCAUGGGCCGCGAGGUCACGGAUCGGCUGCUGCGCAAUCUCGACCUCCCGCACAGCGCCAAAGCUGUCAGCUCCGAUGCGAUGGCGCUGCUGGACGAGAUGCAGAAGAAGGUGAGCCAGCAGCUGCAGAACCUGACAGGAGCUCAGUUCGAGCCAACCAUGGACUCCGCUGAGUUCCCGGAGAUGGCGUGGUGCAUGCUUGUGUCCACGCAGCGCAAGCUGGUUGUGACACUGCUGAUGAUGCGCCACGCAUACGCCACCUUCAUGUCGAGCACCAUUGGGGAGGAGGCCGCCGACUCCCGAAGCGCGAGCGGCGAGGCGAGUGGCGCUGCCGCCGCCGCUGCGACCAGCAUCUCUGUGCACUGGGUGGUACUGCACCGGAUCUCGCCGUACACGCGACAGCUGAGCUUGCUUCUGUACGAGGCGAUGGAGGUGUAUCUGCUGCUGAUGUCGAAGGUGACAUUUGUGCCGACGUCUGAGCUGACGCGUCUGCGGCUUGGGAUGAUGCAGUGCUACGACCGCAUCGUCGCCGUGUACAUUGAGACGAUUCAGCACGAGCUGCGGGACAGCGAUGAAGACGACAAUGGGGGCGGCUUCAAUGACGAUAAAGACAUGGUUGACACCGCGGCGAAGCAGGCAGAAUCGGCGGGGCAGACGACGGCGCCGGUAACAGCGGGGACGUGUGUGCCGGUCUUCACUCCUUCUGGUCUGGUAGUGGACGCCGGAGUGCGGGAGAACAGGAGCUUCCUCGACAGUACCACGGGCCCGAAGAGCCACGCCGACCUCCACGCUCGCCGCCGCCGCAGCAAGCUGUCGAAGUCGGCGAACUCAGAGCGAAAGAAGAAUGACAACGGAGGCGGCCGCGUCGCGUACAAGCUGAGGCCGGCGGAGCGUCAACUUUUGCGGGAGUAUAUGCUUGGGCAGCACACAGCCAGCACGCUGAAUGCAUCGUUCUUCGCAAGCGCCACCGCAAUGGCGUCGGACCAAGAGACCGGCGGGCCGUCUGCGGCGCUGGGCAACGUGGAUGCCGGCGCGAGCGUUGCAAGCCACAGCAUUUUCAACCUGAACGGCAUCUUCUUUGACCGCAGAGCGAGCAUGCUCGAUCCUGCGCUGCUGCGCAACGCCGGGAUCGUGGUGCAGGAGCCGGUGCAUGAGGAGCCGAAGGCGAAGCGGAGCAACAGCACGGUGCCCGCCACCCUCUCGGCGCACCCUUCGACGAUGCACUCGUCUCGCCGGCCGAGCUUUUUGAACCUGCGCUCCUCUGUCACGAACGUGGACGGCGCCGUCGUCAUUGAGGUACCAGGCACGGAGGCGUCUGCCGUGACGCUGCCGGUGUUUCCGCUAGGCUUGGACCGGUCGCUGACGACCGAAGGACCUCUUGAAGGUGCGGUGUCUGCGCCGCCUUCUCUCGGGCACAGCUGCAUUUCUGUCGCGUCACUGGGCGGUGAUGAGCGGCAGCAGCAGCAGCGCCAGAUCCCCGGGUUGCCCGCUUUGGAGUCGCUAGCGAGCAUCCCGCCAAUGGAUGCCGCUCCCGCCACCUCGAAGGCAGAGCUGCUUGCACCCCGGCCGUCGGUGCUGCAGAGCUACACCGUUGUUCCCACGAACGCCUCACUAGCGGCCACGCAGCCGAGUGUGGUUAGUGCUGCGGCAAACGUGCAGGGCGUCAGCGGCUCAGGGCCUCACGGCAGCAACGCUGGUGGUGACGCGGCAGAUCAAGCGGCGCCAAGCCAUGGCACCCUGCUGAGCAACAGCAGCCUGCUCAUGGCGGCCACGGCAGGCGGCGCUCGAGUGGUGGGCGGCGACGUCUUGGCGCUUGGCAGAGCGGCACGUUCGACUCUACAGCCGCAUGUUGGUUUGAUGGGAGCCUUGCAGCACGCUGACCGGCCCCACGGAGCUGACGACAGCGCAUGCCACGACGAUGGCGCCAGCGAGCGCAGCGCUACCCACACGGCGGCACCCGCGCGCGAUGCCGCACUGGCGCCGGCGCCGGCGCCGGUAACUGCAGCCACCACGCCGCGCGCCGACGGCCCCCCGCGCCCGAUCGCGACGUGCUCUGCGACAGUGCCGGGUGAGCAGGGAGUGUACGACGAGCGCAGCACGGCAGCGGAGAGCUCGCCAGAAUUCAUGCUUGACGGCACGCCGGGAGUGUCUGCGGCCACCGCCAGCGGCGGCAAUGCGGGCACGGCGGACGGCGAGGGUGACUGGGAGGGGGCCCGCGAAGCUCUUGGGACGCUGUUGAGCGACCGGAGCACCCAUCCGGAUAACAGGACAGGCAGAGCGGCUUAUUGCACGGCCUCCUCACAACUGGGUGCCACCCUGCCCACUCCGACCGCUGCGGCUGCUGGGGUCGAUGCGGCGGCUGACGAGCGCGCCGCCAGCAGCGGGACGAAUACUUUCCCGAGCAACUUGGACAUCAAUGGGAGCUUUAGCAGGGUCGGACCUGCCAUCCCGGCGGCGUUGCGCUCCUACGUGGAGGGGCUCGCGGCCCACCAGCAGCAGCAGGCGCCACCGCCACCAGCGCUGCUCGGCAACACGUCCUACAUUACCAUCUCGAGCAAUCUGCCGGUGAUGAACCGAACGCUCCUCGGCGGCGGCGGCUUCGGCAGCCCUGCAGCCAACCCAGAGGCCAGCGUGCGCGCUGGGCCCACGCUCACCGCAUCAGCGGUCGCCGCAGCAUCUUCGUCGGGCGGCGGCGUACCUGCUGCUUCAACGUCCGUAUUUCCUGACGCGGCGCCGCUAGCUGCAGCUGGUGGCGCCGCGAGUACCGAGGACGCGUGUCUGCGCAGUUUCGGCGUCCACAACAACACCAGUGACAUUGCCGACAUGCUCCGCAGCACUCACGGCACGCAGAGCUUCAACCCGGUGCUGCUGCGUCUGCUGCAGUCCGAUGGUGAGGGCGGCAGCGAGGGCGCGAAGAACGAGUACGUGCUGACGAACAGCGACAUUCACAGCCUCGAGGCGUUCCUGUUCGGCCUACGCGCGCUGAUCACGCAGGUGGAGGAUAUAGAGCGCUACUUGCUGGAGGUGGUGCACGGAAGGGAGAUGGCCAAGAAGCUGUGAGUACGGGCAGCAGAGAAGAGAGUGGGGUGGCAGAGCGCGCGCUGAAGCUCACGGAUGAUAGAAGAGGGAGUGGUGCGGCUGCAACGAACACAAUCAACGGUGAGCCUCUACUUCGACGCUUCACGAAUUCGUUUUCUUUGCGAGUUCUGUGAACGGAGAGCCUGAUGACGCGGGGGGUGGGCAGGGGAUCAUAGUAUGCUAUCACAAGGUCCAGUAUCUUCACUCUUUCUGUGGGGAGAGUGUAAGCAAGUUCACCCUAUCUCUGCGAGCUCAGAGCCACCUCUGGUGGUGACAGCGUGAAGCGCCUUCGACGUGAUGAAGGCAGAGCGGACUGCCGCCACAGAUGUGGGCGUUCAUGUCGUGGAUGGCGUUUCGUUGGAGAGACCUGCGACAGUGCACACGCUCGCACCAUCCAUAUGAUGGGCAACGUGUCAGCGUGAGUGGAACUUAGGUUCCCUGGCUCUCAACACCUACUGAUGUGAGGGGCCUUCGCCUCCCUCCUCUCCCCCCUGAGAGAUGCACUACGUGGCGACCGCCAUGAUGCGAACGUUGUGAGGCGGCCUUCGGAGGAAGUGCGGGGUUUGGGUGGCGUGUAACUCAUGUGGUAUACGACCGAGAGGCGCACCGUUGAAUGGACGAAGAAGAUGCGAGCGCUGUUGGUGCCUUCCUGGUGCGUCGGUCUGCGUACGGGCAUAUGUGGGUAUGCAUAUGUAGGUUGGUGUGUGUGUGGUAGGGGCGCGUGUGCGUCUAAGUGCAGGUAUAUAUAUAUGUAUAUAUACAUAUAUAUAUAUAUGCAUAUGCAUGUCUUUGUGUGCGUGUGUGUUUUUUUUAUAUGCGCGUAUUCUGAUGUGCUGAAGCCGGCGGCGGACACACGUGGCGCGUGUGUGUGUGUGUGGUCCCACUUUGCACCGCUACCCCGCGUGCACAAUCUAAGGUGCUCUCAUCCCUCAUGACUGCGUUACCCUCCACCUCCCUCAUCGACCUCGAGUGUUCAGGCUGGCCGAAGCUGAAAGAUGGCAGAGACGAGUGAGGCGCCGUGUGGAUGUGAAAGUUGUGGGCGGCUGAAGAGAACGAAAGGGUUUGGGGAGUGGAGAGGGUGGGCGAGGGCCAUCUUCAGAUGCGUUGCAAGAAUGCAUCAAAAAUACAACCACACACGCACGCGACCACCUCUCCUCUCUUUUCCGUAUUUUUCCCUCGUCAAACAGCUCAUGAUGGACUCUUUCGAGCGCGUAAUGGCAGGUCCGCAUGUGCACGUGUGCGCAUCUGCGGAUGCUUGCACGCCAGGCUCUCUCGUGUGUGUGUGUUUGCGUUCACUCACACGCUCGCGCGCAUCUCUCUCUCUCUACCCCCUUUCCUUUUCGCUACGCCGCCCAUUGUCAG